AGGCUGUAGGAGCAGCAGGACUGUGCUCGCUUCUGUGUCCUGCACUGCUGUUGCAGUGUGUUGCCAGGAGCUGUGGCUGCUGACACUCAGCUGGCACGUCCCUACCAGCACUCAGGUCCUGCGAGCUGGGGAGCACCUAUGGAUGCUGGCUGUGGGGCCAGGCCAUGCUGAGGGUCACAAGGAGGCAGCGAUUCUGUGCCUGGCCUGCUGCAAUGAGAGCUGGAAGUGAAUGCGAGGUGACUGCUGCUGGGGUCUGGAAUUGGAACAGUGGCUGUGGCUGCACAGCUCUCCCAUUGCUGGCGAUCCCGUGAGGGUUUAUGUAAUGCCUCUGUCCUUGCACUGGGGCCGCUUGGCUUUGUGCUGCUGCUGAGGAUGCUCUCCCCACCAUGGGUGCGCAAGCUGGGCUCUCACCACUGCCGCUUCUCUCUCUGCUCUCUGUCCUCAAGAUGUGAAACAUGCAAAAAUGGUGAGAGCAGAAAGGGAAACCCCAGAGCAGCUGACACAGCUCUGGGCACUGGGAAGCCCCCCAUUCACCCCCUGUGUCACUGGGGCAGGACAGGGAUACUUGACGGGGGCAGCACGAGCCCCACAGCACUGCUGCAGGCACAUGGCCCCAGGUAACAGAGCAGAACCCCACUGCAGCCCUGUGACUGUGAGCAACGGGAGGCACUUCCAAAGGCUGAUGGUGUCCUAAGGAAGAAUACAGUGUGUGGGGGUGUCUGCAUGGACAAUUUGAAGUGAGAGCUUUUAAAACUCUGCUUACGUCCCCUCGGAGCUGAGGCCAGCAGGAGCCACCCUCAGGGUCACAGGCACCUGGAGCCCUUCCCUGUGCUGGGUUUCCUGGCAUGGCGCGGAAUGAGACAGCAUCCGCAUAGCACGCAGGGGCUGCUGAGACACCUUUAUUUCUCAUUAGAGCUCCGCUCUUCCUCCACCUGCUUCCUGUGGGGGAUUUAGGUUCCUAAGAAACGCACUGAGAAAAUGAGAAAAUUCGCUGUCAGCUUCAUUGGAACUGCUCAGAGGGAGCUGAUCUGGGCACAGCUGGAGCGGUGUCUCUAUGCUGUAGGGGUUGGUCAGGAACUUGUCUGCCUCCUGUGUGCAAGAUCCUUUGGGGAGCACUGAGCCGCAGCGCAGGGAGGUGUAGGGCUGCACUGCUGGCUCUGCUCUGUCUGGAAGGUUCCAUAAAACUUGAGGUUUAUGGGAAUGAGAAUGGACUGUGCUGGGUUCACCUUUGCUCCAUGCAAUGCAUUACUGUGAGAGUGCUGGUUCAGUUCUGUUGCUCAUCCUCUCCUUGCACCUCUGAGGACUUUACUUGCGUUAAUAAAUACGAUAAUUUUCUU
rnacentral:lncRNA from 7 species